GCAUAAAUAUUAAUCCGUAUCGAAAAUAAUGUUUCUUUGUGCAAAGUGAAGUGAAUGAGAGCCGCUUCCAUUAAUAAAAACGGAAAGGAUUUAGAUUACCGGAACCUGGUUCGCCGUUCGCUCUUAUCAUCGUCAUCGAAAAAUGAAAAAUGGGCAAAAAAUGUGGUGCACGGCUGCGGAAGCCGAACCAGAGAUACGGUUUCAUUUUACGGAUUUCCGAACGAUCCUGACACUCGAGCUCCCAUAUUUUGUAUAUUCGUACAGAGCUUACUGGCAAAAAAUCCAGACUGCCCUGCGUUAAACCACGAAGACCCCGUUAUUCGUAUGAAAGCUACUCAAUUGCUUUCUAUGGUUCAUAAAAAUCUUUCAUCCGACUUGUUGUACGAGACACAGACAACACAUACUACUGCGACGACUGUGACCGGUUGUAAUUCCAGCUAUUCUGGAGGGUGUUGACACUUGCAUCUAUUAAACACUUCCCGCGUGGUUCGGCCGUCAAACUUUCCAGCUACCAGUUUUUGAACAUUCCUUGUCCGAGCCAAGCGAAGGAUGAACGUGCCAAAUACAAAAAGUUUCUGGUGGCCAAGAUGGAUUCGUUACGAUUGCUGGUAAAAAAAAAUAUUGCGGAGCGUUUGACAUACCGGAUAUGAAAAACACUUGGACGAUAUAUGUAAUACUUUGAAAUUGGAGCUGAUGCCAGGUGGUGGCAACAAGGAAUAUCUAAUAUUUGAACUGGCGCUGGAAACAACGACUCAUCAAAUUUACACAAUUAUCGACUGUAAUGGGUAGCGUUGCGGACUAAAAUGUUUGAAAACGGUAUCAAAGAUCCACUGGCCUGUGCGAGAGGACCGUACGAGUCAGCACAUUUUGUGGCUAAUAAGCUUCUGCCUAUGACAUUAUCCCAAUUAAAGGAGGACGCCAUCACGGAACAUCUCGUGCUAAACCGAACGUUGUUGGUUUGCAUGGAGAAGGAACAUGACAUCUUGAAAUAAAUGGAUCAGCAGCCGCUCGAAGUUGUGCAAAAGCAGUUUGUCCAAAUUCCAAUUUCAUCUGGAAAUGCUGACCACAAUCCUAACUAUUUAGGAAAACAUCCUAGAUUUGAAGUGUGGCCUGGAGCAUUUAUUGGAAUCUACAGAAAACGACUUGAUGAUUCCCGGAAAAAGUCUGACUUUCUAGAUGGAAGAGAUGAAGCGGAAUCCAGUCGAAGAAACGAUCUAACAGGACGAGCAUGUUCUCCCGAAACCGAUGUUUUGCGAUUUUUGGAGUGGGACGAAGAAUAUACCGUGGAUUUUUCUGGUACCUGCAGCCAAUGCCUGCAAAACGUGAUUGAAGAAACAAGGACAAUUACCACGACUAGUGACCGGAAUCGAACUGGAAUCCUUUUCCGAUUAUAUGAGUACAUGGACACUUGGUUGGCCACAUCACCGAUGCAGCUAUGCCUGGCUUUAUAACCGUCGGUCUUGAGCGAUGUUUCUCCAGUUUUCCCGAAUGUUUAGGUCCCCAGGUCCGAUUCCACCGCAAACAGCCAGCGUGUUAGUGGCCUUCCAUGAAUGCACCACCAGCGAUUCUCGACGUAUCGACAUAUAAUAUUCUACGUAUGCAGUCACAAACAGCAGAUUCCCGGGUCUUCAAUUCUAGUCUAGUGGAUCGAUUGAGAUUCCUAUAGACUUGAUCCUAGGUAGCGAUAUUCCGGCGGCGACGCAUGCUACUAAAGAACUGGAAGACCACAAUCUGAUUGCUAUCUUGGAAGGUGAUGAUGCAAACAUUACGGAACAGCGACCGAAAUUUAAGUUAAAGUCGGUGGGUGCGACGAAGCCAUUGCCAUUCAUGAAAUCCAAUAAGAAGAACCGCAAAAAGAAUAAGCAUAUUAAGAAGAAAAAGAAGAUAUCUUCCUCAUCAUCCGCGGAUUCGUCAUCAUCGGACAACAACGAGGAGGAAGAGGAGUGGGUCGAAAAGUCGGGUAGCAAAGCGGAAACCAGAGCCGGAACUUCUAUGGGUAGUGGUGGCGCGGACGAGGAACUGGGUGAUGGCGUCGUGGGACCGAUCAAAACCAGCCGUAAUCUAAGCCAGAAGGACUUUGGUCGGGCACUGCUGCCUGGUGAGGGUGCCGCGAUGGCCGCCUAUGUGACCGAGGACAAGCGAAUUCAGCGGGUGGUGAAAUCGGGCUUACAUCGGACGAGAUUGAGGGUGAGGGUGCCGCGAUGGCCACCUAUGUGACCGAGGACAAGCGAAUUCCGCGGCGUGGUGAAAUCGGGCUUACAUCGGACGAGAUUGUCAACUUUGAGGACUUUGGAUACGUGAUGAGCGGUAGCAGACAUCGUCGUAUGGAGGCGGUCCAUAUUCGUAAGGAAAAUCAAAUCUAUUCUGCGGACGAAAAACGAGCGCUGGUCAUGUUCAGCAAGGAAGAACGUCAGAAGCGCGAAAACAAGAUCCUGUCACAGUUCAAGGAGAUGAUCAGCGCUAAACUAGCCAAUGACAAGCGUUGAGUAGUUUAGCGUUAACAGGCGUUAACUAGUAUCAACUUAACUGCACGCGUGCUCUCAGAGCCUUCGGAUGAGACAACGUAUCAUGAAGCAAAUAAAAGCGUAUCGACUACUGCGAUUGGUACUAGUAUUUUAUCCUAAUGAUAAAAUAUGGAAAAACAACAACACAACUCCAAUCUGCAAAAUCGAAUUGCAAAAUUUUCAGAUCAAACUGAUUUCGAAGAUGCAAUUCCGGUCAUUGUAGUUGAGUCACAAAACUUUACCCCAGUUGACGCCACACCUUCGUUAGAGAGCAUCCAAUCGAGAGUAAUCGACGCAUCUACCGUCAUGGAUACUGCGGAUGACAAUUUACUGCCAAACUCGGACCCGAUGUUCGCACUCCUGUUCACCAAGUGAAAAGCGUGACUAGCGUGAUUCAAGAAUUGCAUGAAACUGACCGAGAACUUGCCGAGAACCAAAUUGCUCGAGUCCAAAACAAAGUGAGAAUGUUGGACAUUUUGAUGAAGUAGCUUGUACUGAGAAAACUACCGAGUUGAGCACGCAGCAAUCAGAUGAGUUGGAGUGGAAUUAGGAAAUUGUGAAAGCACCGAAAUAAACCUACGGUCGUUCUAGACAGAAACAGUUUUAAUCGAUCCACCGGACAAGCUUAAGGUAGUUGACUCCUAUGGCUGGCGCUGGGUACAUGUAGAAGAGUCCGAUGACAACGACGUCAAUUUACAUCAAAAUCUGUGGGAUGGUUGCGAUCCUUUCCGAUUACAAUUCACGUCAGGUGAUUUCAACAACUCUACUGAAAAUUUUGCGAUUGAAUCAAGAAAGCAAUAGGUUAUCGUAAUAGAUGAUGAUGAAGUAGUAAUCAAAAUGGAGCCCGAAGAAAUUGUGGAAUCUCAUCAGGAAACUCAGGACGACGAGGCAUUGCAAAUACAGAAAAAAAUCGAAACAGGAAGUGAAAUUCUUCGAAUAUCUGAAGAUUAUAAAGUUCUGAACCCUCAAGAUGCCAAUCAACCGGUUGUUGAAUCUGAAUCAGAAUACCACCUGCAACAUCUGCCUCGGUGUCAUAACAAAAAACUAUGUUAAACACUUGACAAAAUCAAGACGUUCGCAUUAAAAAGAAAAUCUGAAGCAAUCCAAUCGAAGGCCAAAGAACAGGCACCCAAAUCAAAAAAGCGCAUUCUAAAACACAUCGCAUUGAAAUGGUCAACUAGCCCAUCUGUCGGAAAACCGGAAAGACCGCCUCGUGAAAGCACGGUAGUUAAUCCACGUCAACGGCACGCCGUUCAAACGCAAGCUCUCUCGUUGUUGGAUGCUCUUUUUAGGCAACCCAAACUGCCACUGUUGCAACGCACGUCUUCUACAAAAAGAAAAGAAAAGACGAAGAAAAAUUUGCAUGAGUUGUGGGCUUUGCUGAAUUUUCUGUUGCCGGAUAUUUUCAACAUCGGAAAUGAUUUUGAAUCCUGGUUCGACGCUAAUGAAUGCAUCAAAAUGAUUGAACGUUUCCAUGUGGUAUUGAAGCCUUUCUUGCUCCUGAAAUCGGAAGUAUAGAAGAGGGUGCUGCCAAAAAGGAGGUCAAAACGUACGAAAAUCAAGUUAUUAAUCAAGUGGUUAAAUUGGUUAUUCAACAAAGGCGUUUUGUGGACAACAAAAUCAUGUUGAACAUCAUUCGAUUCAGCAUCAAUCGCGUUUUCGACCAUAUGUUGCAGAAAGGUGAAAAGCAAACCGCAGAGCAAGCUGCCAAGCAGGUCGAAUCUACGAACCCAAAGUAUCGAUCAAUUGUUCACGACUUCAAGGUCCCCAAGAAUCCGGACCUGGGCAUGGAAGCAAGCAAGGUCAAAUAGAAGGAACAGCGUAAUAUCCACAAAGCGGACCCGCUCAGAGAUUAGGAGCUUCUCGGGAAAGAAUCGCUGCUGACGCAAGGCUUCACCUACUGGAACAAACAAGACUUCAGUCAGUUCAAAUAUUGUCGGCGUAGCACCAAGUUAGAAUUCGGAAGUCGGGACUUCCGAACCGAACUUUCUUCCGAAGUUUUAUUUGUCAAACUAAUUGAUGCGUUGUUUAGCGCAUCUUUAGGCGAAUUCAGCGCACUACUUCCGAAGUUGGGAAAGUUGCCUGUAUCUGGAGAAAAAUCCAACUUCGGUAUAAAAAGCGGUAUAAAUUUAUUCCGGAUACACAAUAUCAAACCAACGAUUCGGUCGGAAUGGCAUUGAAAACAUUGCCAUGGAGGUGGAGGGCAAACACCGAAAAAGGUUAUUGAGUACAGUGCGGGCUUCUGUGAACGUUGCCACGAAAUGCAGGACAUUGAGCGGCUGAUGAUCAGAUCGAACGGAGCGAGGCGAUGAUUCAACACCGGGCUUGGAAAUGCGGAGUGACGGUAAGCUAGCAAUUGUUUUAUGUGUGUAUAAUUAUUUGUAAUAUGUUUACAAAAAUAGUAUUCGUGAAUAAAAAUAUUAAAUAAA